rnacentral:misc_RNA from 1 species
GCCAUUAGGUAAUGAUUGGGAAAACUAAGAACCCAGGAUGGCUGCUCAUCGGAGGGGCCAGUCAUCUCACAGACACUUUGUGACAAAUGUCCAGCAGUUUGUGCACUGAGACGGAAAAAUGGACCGUGCCGUAAGGAGGUGUGAUUUCCACUGGAGGAGAUUGAUUGAGGACAUUUGGAACUCGAGUUCCAGGACCUGAGGGCUGUCCUGCACUGCAUCCACUCCUUCAUAGCAGCCAAGGUGGCCUCCGUGGACCCCGGCUUCAUGGACAGUCAGAGUCUUGCCAGAAAAUACAUGUACAGCAGCUAAAGGUUGUUUCUGUUGAGUGCUGAAAAAUUAAAUUAUUUUCGUAAGAAAUGAUUCUUUCCUGCAGAAUAUUGCAACUUUGUGUUGUUUUAUGAUGAGCCUAUAGUUGUGAUACCAAUAAAACAUGUCACUAGUUUCCAAA